rnacentral:rRNA from 1 species
GAUGAACGCUGGCGGCGUGCCUAAUACAUGCAAGUCGAGCGAACGGACGAGAAGCUUUCUUCUCUGAUGUUAGCGGCGGACGGGUGAGUAACACGUGGAUAACCUACCUAUAAGACUGGGAUAACUUCGGGAAACCGUAGCUAAUACCGGAUAAUAUUUUGAACCGCAUGGUUCAAAAGUGAAAGACGGUCUUGCUGUCACUUAUAGAUGGAUCCGCGCUGCAUUAGCUAGUUGGUAAGGUAACGGCUUACCAAGGCAACGAUGCAUAGCCGACCUGAGAGGGUGAUCGGCCACACUGGAACUGAGACACGGUCCAGACUCCUACGGGAGGCAGCAGUAGGGAAUCUUCCGCAAUGGGCGAAAGCCUGACGGAGCAACGCCGCGUGAGUGAUGAAGGUCUUCGGAUCGUAAAACUCUGUUAUUAGGGAAGAACAUAUGUGUAAGUAACUGUGCACAUCUUGACGGUACCUAAUCAGAAAGCAACGGCUAACUACGUG